AAAAUAAGACAGAAAAAUAAGGAUCCUGUGUACUGUAAGUGAUAUAUCUAUAUAGAAAAUAGAAACCAGAAUCUUUAAGUACUCCCUUUCCCAUAUAAUCUCUUCCUUAGGUUAUAUUUGGAAGAAAAACAUGAACCAUCUAAUUUCUACUAUUUUAGAAAAUUAAGAGUAGUCCAUUGUAUUCUCUGAAAUCUAGGUGUAAUUUCAAAUAGAACAUAGAACAAAAUAUGAAUGAGGAAAUGGAUUCAAUCAAAUUUAAAAACAUGUUGCAAUAUACUGUUAGUAGAUCAAGUAGAAUGAUUUUGUCUUAUUUGAAUAAGUUAUUACUUACGAGUGAUAACUUGUUUACAUCCUUAUAGGAGAUAAAUUUGGUAAACUUGCCAAUAAUGAAAGAAACCAAAUUAGAAAGUCCUAUGUCCCAGUUUCCUUACAGAAGAUAAUGAAAACAUAUUACAUGAUUCAUAGUUGUUGUUUUUUUUACAGUGAUUACAUAUUAUUGACAAUUGGUUGAAACAUCACAGCCUAGCAUGAUGAACAUUGCCUAAAUAUGUAAGAAAUUUUUCAACUAUUCUUAAAGUUUUGAACCUGGGCUUCAGAGAUCAUAGAGAACAUAUGGAAGGCAGCUGGAAAAACACCAGGUGUUAGAUUGGUGGGGGUCAUGCUGGACUUGGAUUUAGCAACCUUGGCACCUGAGUUCUGGCUAGGACAGAAAUCAGAGCCAACACUUAUUUAUUUAUUUAUAAAAUCACAGAGGUGGAAGAAGUAAUUUGUAGGAGAAAUGGGCUUAUGAAACAAGUUAUAAAGGUAAAGGAAGGGCCCUUGGAGUUUGGGAGUGAGGGAACUAAUGGUAAGUGCCUGGGGACAGCGAAAGGAGAGGGGAAGGCAGGGAGUCCUCCUGGGAGGGAAAGUGCACUGGGUCCUCAUUCUAAAGGUUUUAAGGGUGGAGAUUUUAGGGGAGGUCCCAAGGUAAGAUCUUAACAGAAUAAUUAGCAGUUUUCCAGGUAUGACUUUUCAGGGUCUAGGUCUUCACUGAUUGACUGGUUGGCACCAGGGCAAGCAGUCAUUAUCCAAUGCAGCUGAUUCUCAGGUCAGCCAUGGGGCCACUUGUCUAGUUUUGCUGCUUUUCUGGGCCUGGAGCUGAAAUGCAACUGAGGCCUAGAUGUUACCUCUAGGGAGAAAAGGUCAGGGGAUCCAAACUGUAAGACCAGUGAUAUGUUAGGGGAAGAAAGGUCAUCCAGGGGGUGAGGUCCCACUCUACCAUUGUCCUUUGAUAGGCACCUGGGGCUUUCCACCCUGGUGCCCUUCUGUAUCUGUCCUAUCGUCCUUGCUCUGCUCAUGUCUGUCUAACUGCCUAUCAUCUAAGUAAAAUUAUAUGCAAUAUUUUUCUAUGUGUAUGUAUGCAUGCAUUUUUCUAAGAAAAGUAUCCAUAAUCUUCAACAGAAUAUCAAAGGAAUUUGUGUCUCAAAAGAACCACACAUACCACUGCUAGCUUUUCUUCUUGGCAAGUUAAAAAAUAAAAGGAAUAAUUUUAAACUUUAA